AGAGCUAACGGAUCCAACAUUUGCUCAAGUGCGUUACUUGAUCAGUUAUCGCAUCCGCCUGAGCCGCGGAUCUGACAAGCGCGCGUGCAGUUCAGUUCCCUCAGUUGCCAAGGUUGCAGACCGCUCUAGGGCUGAAUCAGUUAUAACUGCUGCGGGCUCACAGGUCUCAUACCUGCAAGUGAGUCGGUGUCCCCCACCCCAUUAACCCUUGCUAAAUCAAAACCUCUCACACCUGGGACAGGGUCAGCGUCAGAUUUUGCCUCAUAGAUUUUGGACAGCAAGUCCCAAAAGUUGGCUUCACCUCUCCCUCCUAUCUUGUCCAUCUUUAAUGAAUUGGAAACACUUUCAUUUUCCUUUUAGCGAGAGUCCAACUAACUCAUUCUAAAUCAGUAGCAACGUGGGGGCAAAUAGUCUCUUCUGCUGGAACGUUGACACGUCUAAAACGACUGUGCCAGACUUUCUUGGGAAAAUUAUUGGAUUGGUUUGCCAUUUCAUUUUUCAGCUCAUUUUGAUAGAUGAGGAAAUUGAGGCAAACACGGUUGAUUAAUCUGACCGGGAUCACACAACGACAUAUUUAUGACAAGCAAAUCGAAAAACAAAAGGAAUGUAAUAAGAGCUGUCUAUCCUAAAUCAGCUGUUAAGAGAAGGCUUUUGGUACUGGAUUUGUUUUGGACGCACCUUCCCUGGAUAAAAAAGCAGAAGAAAGUUCUGCAGAAGAAUCUCUAAGCAGAAACUCUCAAAAUUCGACUUAAUCAAAAUAAGUGCUGCUCAGAAAAAAAAAAAUCAGAGAUGAAAAGAGUAGCACUGUUAAUACAGAAGAUAGAGCUUUUCUUGGAGACAAUCAGUUAGAUAGUGAAAAAGAAGAUAUGACAGAUUCCUAAGUCUACAUCUCAAGCCAGUUCUCUCUUCAUCCUAUCAUUCCUCGCCUGCCUACUUUUCAAAGUCUCCCCUUAUGAAGUCUACUCUUCUGGACAUUCUAAAGUUAAACAUUUAUGGAAAACAAAAAUGAAGAAAUUCAGAGAACAUGAAGAAGGAGAUGUUGCUUCCCAAGAAGAAUGGAAGCAAACACAUUCUGAUAUGGAUAAACAAAUGGAUAAGUUUAAAAAAGAGAAUAUCAGAGCAGUUUUCCUUGAUGAUGUCUUGAAGAAU